UUAAGUCAGUUGUGAAAGUUUGCGGCUCAACCGUAAAAUUGCAGUUGAUACUGGGUGUCUUGAGUACAGUAGAGGCAGGCGGAAUUCGUGGUGUAGCGGUGAAAUGCUUAGAUAUCACGAAGAACUCCGAUUGCGAAGGCAGCCUGCUGGACUGUAACUGACGCUGAUGCUCGAAAGUGUGGGUAUCAAACAGGAUUAGAUACCCUGGUAGUCCACACAGUAAACGAUGAAUACUCGCUGUUUGCGAUAUACAGUAAGCGGCCAAGCGAAAGCGUUAAGUAUUCCACCUGGGGAGUACGCCGGCAACGGCGAAACUCAAAGGAAUUGACGGGGGCCCGCACAAGCGGAGGAACAUGUGGUUUAAUUCGAUGAUACGCGAGGAACCUUACCCGGGCUUGAAUUGCAACUGAAUGAUGUGGAGACAUGUCAGCCGCAAGGCAGUUGUGAAGGUGCUGCAUGGUUGUCGUCAGCUCGUGCCGUGAGGUGUCGGCUUAAGUGCCAUAACGAGCGCAACCCUUAUCGAUAGUUACCAUCAGGUGAUGCUGGGGACUCUGUCGAGACUGCCGUCGUAAGAUGUGAGGAAGGUGGGGAUGACGUCAAAUCAGCACGGCCCUUACGUCCGGGGCUACACACGUGUUACAAUGGGGGGUACAGAAGGCAGCUACACGGCGACGUGAUGCUAAUCCCGAAAGCCUCUCUCAGUUCGGAUUGGAGUCUGCAACCCGACUCCAUGAAGCUGGAUUCGCUAGUAAUCGCGCAUCAGCCACGGCGCGGUGAAUACGUUCCCGGGCCUUGUACACACCGCCCGUCAAGCCAUGAAAGCCGGGGGUACCUGAAGUGCGUAACCGCGAGGAGCGCCCUAGGGUAAAAC
rnacentral:rRNA from 1 species